GACGAACGCUGGCGGCGUGCUUAACACAUGCAAGUCGAACGGAAAGGCCCUGCUUUUGUGGGGUGCUCGAGUGGCGAACGGGUGAGUAACACGUGAGUAACCUGCCCUUGACUUUGUGAUAACUUCAGGAAACUGGGGCUAAUACCGGAUAGGAGCUCCUGCUGCAUGGUGGGGGUUGGAAAGUUUCGGCGGUUGGGGAUGGACUCGCGGCUUAUCAGCUUGUUGGUGGGGUAGUGGCUUACGAAGGCUUUGACGGGUAGCCGGCCUGAGAGGGUGACCGGCCACAUUGGGACUGAGAUACGGACCAGACUCCUACGGGAGGCAGCAGUGGGGAAUAUUGCACAAUGGGCGGAAGCCUGAUGCAGCAACGCCGCGUGCGGGAUGACGGCCUUCGGGUUGUAAACCGCUUUCACCUGUGACGAAGCGUGAGUGACGGUAAUGGGUAAAGAAGCACCGGCUAACUACGUG
rnacentral:rRNA from 1 species